GUCCACGCCCUAAACGAUGUCUACUAGUUGUUGGUGGAGUAAAAUCCAUGAGUAACGCAGCUAACGCGUGAAGUAGACCGCCUGGGGAGUACGGUCGCAAGAUUAAAACUCAAAGGAAUUGACGGGGCCCGCACAAGCGGUGGAUUAUGUGGAUUAAUUCGAUGCAACGCGAAAACCUUAACCUGGCCUUGACAUGCCACUAACGAAGCAGAGAUGCAUUAGGUGCUCGAAAGAGAAAGUGGACACAGGUGCUGCAUGGCUGUCGU
rnacentral:rRNA from 1 species